rnacentral:rRNA from 1 species
CCUGAGAAACCUAAAAGGUCGAAUGGGGAGAUUCAUCGUCAGCGUUGUUAGUAUUAAUGCAAGCUAUGAUGUGUAUACUUGCUUGUAUUAUUUUUGCUAAUUUCGUCGGCGUGCACUUCUCCUCUAGUAAACGUCGCAACCUGUUGGAUGUUUAUCUAUGGCUCAUCCUUUAGUAUACUGAAGACCUUUGGUACUGAAGACCUUUGGAUGUCCUGAUAAACUGUUUGACAGGGUAUCGAGCCGCAAUUAUUUGCGUUAUUGCGUUAGACUUGCCGCAAGAUGAUUUUCCUGGUAGUGCGGAUAUAAUGCCGUCGCUGGGGUAAUGUCUUUAACUGGCUUAUUUACCGGUUAGCCAAGCUACUGCUUUGGGUACUUACAGGACCCGUCUUGAAACACGGACCAAGGAGUCUAACAUGUACGCGAGUCAUUGGGAUAUAUAAACCUAAAGGCGUAAUGAAAGUAUAGAUUGUC